AAAACACUCCUACGGGAGGCAGCAGUGGGGAAUAUUGGACAAUGGGGGAAACCCUGAUCCAGCAAUGCCGCGUGAAUGAAGAAGGCCUUAGGGUUGUAAAAUUCUUUUGUUCGUGACGAUAAUGACGGUAGCGGACGAAUAAGCCCUGGCUAACUCUGUGCCAGCAGCCGCGGUAAUACAGAGAGGGCAAGCGUUGUCCGGAAUGACUGGGCGUAAAGCGCGCGCAGGCGGUUUCUUAAGUUGGAUGUGAAAUCCCCGGGCUUAACCUGGGAACUGCAUUCGAUACUGGGGAACUAGAGGCCGAGAGAGGAAAGCGGAAUGACGAGUGUAGAGGUGAAAU
rnacentral:rRNA from 1 species